UACGGAGGGUGCAAGCGUUAUCCGGAUUCACUGGGUUUAAAGGGUGCGUAGGUGGGCUAGUAAGUCCGUGGUGAAAUCUCUGAGCUUAACUCGGAAACUGCCGUGGAUACUAUUAGUCUUGAAUCUCGUGGAGGUAAGCGGAAUAUGUCAUGUAGCGGUGAAAUGCUUAGAUAUGACAUAGAACACCGAUAGCGAAGGCAGCUGCUACAUCGAGUAUUGACACUGAGGCACGAAAGCGUGGGGAAUCAA
rnacentral:rRNA from 1 species